CUUGGCUGAGGGCAAAGACGCUCCUGGAGCUCCCGUCCUUCGGCUUGCCUCAGUUGCCACUGCCAUCUUGGAUCAGGGUAAUUCCCGCCUCUUGGGCGCUCCCGGUUACAACUUCGGCGCCAUCUUGGAUUACUUCAAUGUGGCCAUCCUCGCCAGGCCCGCUGCUUCUGCCAGCUGGAUGUUGCGUCGUCCCUCGCUAUUCGCCCUCCUAUAAUCACUGCUUCCAUGUUGAAUCAAAACAAUUAUGCUUUCGUUCUCCCUUCUUCAAUGGCCCUAUCUUCACACCCAAACACUAUUGCUCCGGCAUCCUGCCAUUUUGGAUCAGGGCGGUUGACGGUGGAUUCGCUUCCCAUCAGCCCUUGAGGCUGCAGAGACCAGCCCUUUGCUAGUGGAGAAGCCUAGGCGGCCUAGAAUCCAGUGUCGUCCGUGAGUGCUUGGCAGGUGUUCAAGUGCAUCUUCCAGCCUGAGACCGCGUGGACUCGCUCAUCGUGAGGGCGAGAGGAGGAUAAGCCCAUUGGGCUGUCGGCUGAGAGUGAGGUGCGGGGGUCUCAUUCUGUUGCCCAGGCUGGAGUGCAGUGGCAUGAUCAUAGCUCACUGAAGCCUUGAACUCCUGGACUCAAGUGAUCCUCCCACCUCAGCCUCCCGAGUAGCUAGGAUUACAGCAGAUUGCUGAUGAAAUCCUUGGCAUCGUCGGAGAUCUCAUCGAAUGCCUCGUCGUCGAAGUCCCAGGUGGCUGACGUAACGUUGGCCAAGGUUUCAUUAUCGUUGUCUCCCAUGAAGGGGGAAAGGCCACUGACUCUGGAGAGACAAGAGCAGGAGAGCAGGUGUGGUUAGGAGAGGGCGCGACGACCAGCCCUGCUGAUCCACAUUCCAGCCCAGAAUGCACUGCCCAGAAACUGUCUACCCCAAUAACCAAAGCCCUGGGAAUGAUUCUGGGAUUGUGACAGAGCCACUUCCCAGUGCUGGCAGUCAUGCCAGAGGCCUCCUGUGAUGGAACCACUUUCGCUGGCUGUUUAAUAUGUUCUCUUAGAAAAACUGUUUGUUCUGAGAGAUAUAUUGGCCUUUUUUGAAACAUUUCUGGUUUUGGCUAAGAUGUUUAUUACUCUAAACUCUCUUAAAGACAAGUGGUUCAAGUCCUCUCAAGACCCAGCUAAGGAAGUAAAAAAACCUGAAGAGGGAUGGAAGACAGACCCACUACUCCUCCCAGAGAAGGCUGCCUGGAAACCAUGUGAUUGGCCACGGUUGGAGUCCUGUGGGCUUAUAAAUGAAUGCACUCUGCCAACUGAUCUUCCUUCUGCUUUGGUCAAGAAAAUAAAACUGAGAAAUAGGUGUUGCAGAAGAGGUGCCAUUUGUACCCUACCCUGUUACAGAUGUCUCUUGGCUGAAAAUGAGAACCUAUACAUGACAUAUGUGAUAUGUAAGACUUGUCACACAAGAGAAGAUGCAAAAUUUGGGGAGAGGGACUUUAAUUCCAAGUAAAACUCCAACACUUUUAAGGAAUUUGCUACCAAAUUAAGGAGUUCAGAAAAGACCCAAGUCAGAAGUCCUAGGAGAUUGGAGGCCUCACACCCCUCCACCUGCCUUUAGAGCUGUGGGCUGCACCUAAUGCUUUCUGUUCUUUCUAAGCUACAAGCCCCAUGCAGUGGCUGAACUAGUAAAGGGAUGAAAACCUUCAGAAAAGAACAGACGUCCUUAGAACAGGGAGCUCCUGUGAGCCUGUCCUCCACGGCGACACACUCAGACUGGGAGGGAGACCCUGAGCGUCUCUGGGCAAAGGAGACUCCACAUUUCCUCUGAAUUCUCCCAGGGCUCCCUGGAGGCUUGACUAACAGAAUAGGAAACUCAGCUGAGUCUAAGACAAGAGUCUCCAAUGGCACCAGCUCCAGGAUUUUCUCCUCAGCAAAUGUUCUAAUUCCCAGGAAAACGGAGGAUCCUGUCCUACAGCUUCCCACUAGAGUAACUGCCCUCGAGGUCUCUUGGUGCUCACUUAUUUGAAGAUGACCAGUGGCUAUGCCUAGCCCCACCUGGAUGUCCCUUCCCUGGGACUUCAGCAGCUGCUGGAAGGGCCCCCAAAGGUCAUCUACCUGGAUAAUCCUAGCCCUUGGGAAAUGGGUCCUCAGCAGCUAUGGCAUUUUUCUUAUCAAGAAAACCCAGUAGUCAGUGGCAGAGCCAAAAGGAGAUUCCAAAAAGCCUCUGGACCCUCGCUCCAGGGCUCAAGACUUUCCAGGCUAUCAGGCAGAAUGAGCUCAAGAAGGCAUCUUGCUUAAGCCUGAGCUGAGCAUUAAGAUGGGAAAUCAUGCAAGCUCCAAACUCAGUUAGUAUUUGGGGAUUAUUGGGUAUUUGGGGUUCUCUCUACUUUGUUUUUCUCCUGUAAAGAUAUGAAAAGAGACCUGCUUUUCUCGUGCUGGGUGAGUGACCUUAAGGAAUCCAUCUGGGUGUGCUGCUCACUGUCCCCUCCCUCAUUCCCCGCAGGCCAAGACCAGGGGCACAUGUGCAGGAAGAGGCUCUGAGCAUUGCAAAUUCCUGGGCUGCCUUUUAAAAUAUAACAAUAAUAAGUCUCCAAAAUAGCUAAAUAUCACUCAUUUAAGCUAACAGAGGGAAAGGCUAGUUUUUAUUUUUGUUUGAAAAAUAGGAGUCAGAGAUGAUCUGAAAAGAAAGUGGCCCUUUAAAGAAUAUACAAUAAGAGAAGUUUGCUGCUAACAAGAAGGAGUUGUAUUAAACUGGCCUUAUUUAGCUGGUCUGUAAAUGCAUGAAAACUGUCCGGAGCAGACCAAGUGAUUCCUGUUUUACCUCAUGUACAUUUUACAUCUGCUUAAUAAACCCUGAUCAGAGAAUACAGAGAUGUCCCUGGAGAUGCACAGGUAAAUCUGAGCUUCAUCCAGGUUUACUUUGAACUAAUUCUAAGUGCAUGGGCUCUGAAUGAAUGUGGCUUUGCUGUAUCCAUCAAUGUGAGUCCUAUUUUAUUGAGCAAUUCUAUUCUUAGCUCUUUGAGGGGGAGGCAGACAGAAAGCCUCGGUUCCCCUCCAUUCCAUUCCCCUCCCAGGACGGCAUUUAACAUGCUGCUCCUGCCAGCUGGCAGACAGCCACGCCAAUGGCCCUGUCAGCACUGGCCGCAGAGAAUAAGAAACUAAACCAUAAAAGGCCAGAACUGCAGCCCGUGCAGUGGUGAUCGGAGGAGGGGAGUGCAUGGCACCGCGCAGGAGCUGGGCAUCGUGGGGGCUGGGGGGAGGGACGGCUGAGUACAGAAAAGCAGUUCAAAGAAGCUGACCCCAAAGUUGCUUAAGGAGGAGCAGAUGAGAGAGAACAUCAAAGAAAAGUUUAAAGUGAUGCUUGCUGAUAGGACGGGAGUACAGAGCCAAUCAGUGCUUCAGAACAGAUCUAAAUGUACCAGUAAAGUGGAUCACUAGCACCAAGCCUCCACAGGUUCCUGACUCCUUGGGAGGAAAUUAUUCAAAUAAACACCUGGAGUCACCAAAAAGAGACAGAGCGAGAAAAGGGUUGUUCUUCUCCUUUAGAAAUGAAAAACCCAUUCUCUGACCCCUUUGUACACCAGUCUUCCCCGAUCUGAAACUUCUAACUGAAAGAAACAAAAGAACGGGGGUCAGAGGAAGGAAGACAAACAGAAAAGAGGGGACACGGGACAGGGUGACAGACACUGAGAAAUGGCUGAAACAGAACACGGGGUGAAGAAACAAGGCCAG